CUUCACUUCUUACAAAGAUAGUCUCUAUCCAGUUUGUCCUUAUACAUAUACUGUGCCGAUUCAGUCAGUACGUGCUUUGUUGGCGAUCACACCUUUAUAUAGACAACGAAACAGAGAUAGAACAUGUCAUCGUUAUCGGAGUCAGAUGUCGAUAACAUGGCUUCUUUUACAAGAAGUACUACUAAAAAAAAAAGAGGAAGAUUAGAGGAGAACUUUCAAAUAAAGAGAAGACAUGGUACGCACGAAAGUUCCGUCCAGAAUGGUUAAAACAAAAAGAAUUUGAAGGUUGGUUAGAAGAAGUACCAUCUGAUAUAAGUAAAUGUAAAUGUUUAGCUUGUAAUGUGCAAUUAUUAUGUGGAAAAAGUGAAUUACUAAAACAUGUGAAUUCAAAAAAAACAUAAGAGUCGUGUAGAAAAUCAUAAAAAUACAAGGAAAAUGGAUACUUUUUUUUACUAAACAGAAGCAAUUGAAUAAAGAAGAUCAAAUCAAAAGAGCAGAAAUCAAACUUAGAAAAAGACUACAAUAUGGUAUAUAGCAAGUACAUAUAUA